CUGGGCUAGACAACGGUGGACCGUCCUAGAAAUAGGAUUUUCCCUUCGGGGACUGCCGGUUCAGGUGCUGCAUGGCUGUCGUCAGCUCGUGCCGUGAGGUGUUGGGUUAAGUCCCGCAACGAGCGCAACCCUCGUCCUUAGUUGCCACCAUUCAGUUGGGCACUCUAGGGAGACUGCCGGCGUUAAGCCGGAGGAAGGUGGGGACGACGUCAAGUCAUCAUGGCCCUUAUGCCCAGGGCCACACACGUGCUACAAUGGACGGUACAAAGGGUCGCAAACCCGUGAGGGGGAGCCAAUCCCAAAAAGCCGUUCUCAGUUCGGAUUGGAGUCUGCAACUCGACUCCAUGAAGUUGGAAUCGCUAGUAAUCGCGGAUCAGCACGCCGCGGUGAAUACGUUCCC
rnacentral:rRNA from 1 species